CCAAUGUGCGCCUUUGGGCUGAGCACCUUGGGACUAAGUGUGUAUGCCAGGGUCUGCCUCUCAGCGUGCCGCAUUUGAUUCCCAGGCUGUGCUGGCACAGACGGUGCUGAGGGGUGCGUUCGGGAGUUGCUCUCAUCUCCCCACACUGUGCUGCUGCUGCUAAAACGCUGCGCACCAGGAGAGCAGGAAAAACCAUCGCAGGGAAACAAACGAGCCUCUGUAUCCAGGAGUCCCUUGCACGGGCAAAAGGUUCAAGGAUGCCUGAGCAAAACCCAGGACAGCCCUAGAGCUCCCUCAGUUCAAUGCUGCCUGAGCGUCCUCAGCGCCUUCCAGGUGCUUGAAUCCAAAUCUUCGGGACCAAUCCUGCAUUCAUAAAGCAUCGAGCUGAAGCUUUGAUGGCAAGGUGGAACAUCUUUGGACAAAGAGAAGCACAGCCAGCCUCUGAAAAGCAGACCCUUUUGGAUAAAUUGACCUGGAUAAAACAACAAGGACAAGAUAGCAUUCAACUCAGUGUGCUGAAAGAGCAAAUAUGAAAUUUCUGAGCUACCAAAGCAGAACUUACACCAGCCACCACCUCAAGGAACAAAGGUGAGUAAUGUGAUAGGGAGCUGUAUGAAUAACAGAAUAAAUAUAGCAACAUUUCCUCUGGAUUGGUGG
rnacentral:lncRNA from 1 species